ACUGCGAAGCCCAGCUGCGCGCGCCUUGGGAUUGACUGUCCACGCUCGCCCGGCUCGUCCGACGCGCCCUCCGCCAGCCGACAGACACAGCCGCACGCACUGCCGUGUUCUCCCUGCGGCUCGGACACAUAGUAUGACCAUUAGGUGUUUCGUCUCCCACCCAUUUUCUAUGGAAAACCAAGGGGAUCGGGCCAUGAUAGCCACUGGCAGCUUUGAAGAACGGGACACCUUUAGAGAAGCUUGAUCUUGGAGGCCUCACCGUGAGACCUUACAAAGCCGGCUCUGACCUGGACCCCUCAUCCCUGCCUGUCUUGUGGUGUAAGUGCGGAUCCCCCUAAGUUGGAGGAAAGGAAACUGGCCCAAACAAAAAGGAGAGCAGUUUUCUCUGCAUCACAUGCUCUCCAGAUGAACCACAGAAGCAGGAAUGUGGGCAUCAUCAGUGAAAUCUCUGCAUACAGCAGACAAAGGGCUGGUCCAGUGGCUGUUUAUGAGGCAGCGCUAGGAGAGCUCUGAUCCAGACUCUCCCUGCAGUGAAA
rnacentral:lncRNA from 1 species